AAACCUGAGAAACCCGAAAGUUCGAAUGAAAAGAUUCAAUAUUCUUCAAUUGGUUGUACAUUUACUUUGUGAUUAUGUGAUAGUUUUGUGUUAAUUUCUUUAUCCUUCACUGGAUUUUGAAUGUACAUAUAUUCUACACCACUUUGUUUAUGAAUAAAUACAACUAUGAAGGUAUGCACUUCUUUUCUAGUAGGACGUUGCGACCCAUUGAAUGUUAAUCUACGGCUACUCGUUAGAGCCUAUUCCUAUUUUACUUAAUUGUAUUUAUGGGAAAUAGAUUUCUGAGUGUGUCCCGAAUAACUGUUCGAUGGUAUAUAUAAAACCAUAAUAUUGGAUCGCCACUUUGUCUGGGCAUUUGGUAUUCAUUCAAGUAUGUAAGGUAAUUUAAAUGUCAGGGGCUCUUGUACUGGCUUUGAAUCCUAACUACUGUUCGAGUGAAAUUUACUAUCAAAUAGUAUCCUUUUAUUGGUCAGCAACGCUGUUGCUUUGGGUACUUUCAGGAC
rnacentral:rRNA from 1 species